rnacentral:rRNA from 1 species
AGCAGCCGCGGUAAUUCCAGCUCCAAUAGCGUAUAUUAAAGUUGUUGCAGUUAAAAAGCUCGUAGUUGAAUUUCGGGAUUGGCGCAUCGGUCGUGCCUCACGGGGUAUGAACUGGUGCAGUCAAUUUCUCACCUUCUGGAGAACCGCGAUGUCCUUAAUUGGAUGCCGCGGGGAACCAGGACCUUUACUUUGAAAAAAUUAGAGUGUUUAAAGCAGGCAUUUUUGCUUGAAUACAUUAGCAUGGAAUAAUAAAAUAGGACGGCAUGGUUCUAUUUCGUUGGUUUCUAGGACCACCGUAAUGAUUAAUAGGGAUAGUUGGGGGCAUUAGUAUUCAAUUGUCAGAGGUGAAAUUCUUGGAUUUAUUGAAGACUAACUACUGCGAAAGCAUUUGCCAAGGAUGUUUUCAUUAAUCAAGAACGAAAGUUAGGGGAUCGAAGACGAUCAGAUACCGUCGUAGUCUUAACCAUAAACUAUGCCGACUAGGAAUCAGACGAUGUUAAUUUUUUAAUGACCCG